AGAGUUUGAUCCUGGCUCAGAACGAACGCUGGCGGCGUGGAUAAGACAUGCAAGUCGAACGGGACAAUAUUUGUAGCAAUACAGAUGUUGUUUAGUGGCGAACGGGUGCGUAACACGUGGGAAAUCUGCCGAGAAGUGGGGGAUAGCUCGCCGAAAGGCGAAUUAAUACCGCAUGUGAUCAGGGAAGACAUCUUUCCGACAUUAAAGCCGGGGCAACCUGGCGCUUCUUGAUGAUCCCGCGGCCUAUCAGCUAGUUGGUGAGGUAACGGCCCACCAAGGCGAUGACGGGUAGCUGGUCUGAGAGGACGACCAGUCACACUGGAACUGAGACACGGUCCAGACACCUACGGGUGGCAGCAGUCGAGAAUUUUUCUCAAUGGGGGCAACCCUGAAGGAGCGACGCCGCGUGGAGGAUGAAGGCUUUCGGGUUGUAAACUCCUGUCAUUUGAGAACAAUGGCUACGCGUUAACCGCGCGGAGCUUGAUAGUAUCAGAAGAGGAAGGGACGGCUAACUCUGUGCCAGCAGCCGCGGUAAUACAGAGGUCCCGAGCGUUGUUCGGAUUCAUUGGGCGUAAAGGGUGCGUAGGUGGCGCUGUAAGUGGGGUGUGAAAUCCCGGGGCUUAACUCCGGAACUGCAUUCCAUACUGCGGUGCUUGAGGACUGGAGAGGAGACUGGAAUUUACGGUGUAGCAGUGAAAUGCGUAGAGAUCGUAAGGAAGACCAGUGGCGAAGGCGGGUCUCUGGACAGUUCCUGACACUGAGGCACGAAGGCCAGGGGAGCAAACGGGAUUAGAUACCCUGGUAGUCC
rnacentral:rRNA from 1 species